GGACCCGCACAAGCAGUGGAGCAUGUGGUUUAAUUCGAUGAUACGCGAGAAACCUUACCAGCUCUUGUAUCCUGGUCGUGAUUUUCAGAGAUGAAUUUCUUCAGUUCGGCUGGACCAGUGACAGGUGUUGCAUGGCUGUCGUCAGCUCGUGUCGUGAGAUGUUAGGUUAAGUCCUUUAACGAGCGCAACCCCUAUUCUUAUUUGCCAUCAGGUUAUGCUGGGAACUAUAAGAAAACUGCCAACGACAAGUUGGAGGAAGGUGGGGAUGAUGUCAAGUCAUCAUGGCCCUUAUGGGCUGGGCUACACACAUGCUACAAUGGUAUCUACAACAGGAAGCAAAACUGCGAGGUUUAGCAAAUCCCUAAAAGAUACCUCAGUUCGGAUUGCACUCUGCAACUCGAGUGCAUGAAGCUGGAAUUACUAGUAA
rnacentral:rRNA from 1 species